GCUGGCGGCAGGCCUAACACAUGCAAGUCGAGCGCGCCUUCGGGUGAGCGGCGGACGGGUUAGUAACGCGUGGGAACGUGCCCUUCUCUACGGAAUAGCCUCUGGAAACGGAGAGUAAUACCGUAUACGCCCUUUGGGGGAAAGAUUUAUCGGAGAAGGAUCGGCCCGCGUUAGAUUAGGUAGUUGGUGGGGUAACGGCCUACCAAGCCUACGAUCUAUAGCUGGUUUUAGAGGAUGAUCAGCAACACUGGGACUGAGACACGGCCCAGACUCCUACGGGAGGCAGCAGUGGGGAAUCUUAGACAAUGGGGGCAACCCUGAUCUAGCCAUGCCGCGUGAGUGAUGAAGGCCUUAGGGUCGUAAAGCUCUUUCGCCUGUGAUGAUAAUGACAGUAGCAGGUAAAGAAACCCCGGCUAACUCCGUGCCAGCAGCCGCGGUAAUACGGAGGGGGUUAGCGUUGUUCGGAAUUACUGGGCGUAAAGCGCGCGUAGGCGGAUUAGAAAGUUGGGGGUGAAAUCCCGGGGCUCAACCCCGGAACUGCCUCCAAAACUGCUAGUCUAGAGUUCGAGAGAGGUGAGUGGAAUUCCGAGUGUAGAGGUGAAAUUCGUAGAUAUUCGGAGGAACACCAGUGGCGAAGGCGGCUCACUGGCUCGAUACUGACGCUGAG
rnacentral:rRNA from 1 species